AUUGUUGUUGAGACAAGUGGAUAUAAAAAUUUAACAUUUAGAGAGAAAGACGCUCGUAACUAUAUCGAUAAAAUCCGCCGGUUAUGACUUGGUGAAGUUGAUGGCACAACUAUUUGUCAUAAUUUUAGAAGCAUGAAAAAGAGGAAUGCAAACUUUUUCUAUGCCAUAGAUGUCACGCCCCGCGACCCGCCAAUUUGGUCGGAUCCGGGCACGUCGAUCAGACGCCGAACGGACAGCACCUCCCCUGUCCGCCCAAGGCUAGAAUAACAAGAUCAUGUACAAGAAUUGCCCAGGAAAAUUCAUUCAACAUACAUGAUCAAUACGAAGCACCACAAGUGCUAUACAAUUAAGAGCAAGAAUCACAAGUAUCAUACAAAUGAAAUAAAGAGAGAUACAUCUAACUAUUACAUCACAUUUAACCUUUACAUAUUGAUUUACAUUUUCAUCUUCCAAAAUGAAUACAUAUUCUUCUCAUAAUACAAAAUGGCUCUCUAAAUACAUAAAUAACUCUCAAAUACAUCAUAUCUCUAUGUACACGAGGGUACUCUAAUGCAUAAGGAAGCUACUAGUUACUAGGGCGCUAUGCCCUUACCACGGUCCUCUGCCGGUACGCUCUCA
rnacentral:lncRNA from 1 species